AAGAGGACGGGAAACCGUUCGGGGGUAAACCUGUGAAACCCAAAAGAUCGAAUGAGGAGAUUCAUCGUCAGCGUAUUCAGUAUUAAUGCAGGCUAUGAUGUGAUAAUAGAAUCCUCGUGGUCACUAGAUUAUACUUGCUUGUAUUAUUUUUGCUGGGUAUGUCGGCGUGCACUUCUCCUCUAGUAGAACGUCGCAACCCGUUGGAUGUUUAUCUAUGGCCUGAUUGGUAGCCUUUGAUAUUUAUUAUAUUGAAAACCUUUUGGUGUCCUGAUAAACUGUCUGACGGUAUAAAUAAUAGUAUUGAGCCGCAAUUAUUUGCGUUAGACUUAUCGCAAGUAAGGCUUUAUUCUGGUAGUGCGGAUUUAAUGCCGUCGCUGGACAAAGUCUGCUGUUAGCUGUGUAAUGUCUUUAACUGGCUUAUUUACUGGUUAGCGAUGCUACUGCUUUGGUUAC
rnacentral:rRNA from 1 species